GAGUUUGAUCCUGGCUCAGAUUGAACGCUGGCGGCAGGCCUAACACAUGCAAGUCGAGCGUGAAAGGGCUUCGGCCUGAGUAAAGCGGCGGACGGGUGAGUAACGCGUAGGAAUCUACCUAGUAGUGGGGGAUAACGUUCCGAAAGGAACGCUAAUACCGCAUACGUUCUGAGGAAGAAAGCAGGGGGAUCGCAAGACCUUGCGCUAUUAGAUGAGCCUGCGUCCGAUUAGCUAGUUGGUGGGGUAAAAGGCCUACCAAGGCGACGAUCGGUAACUGGUCUGAGAGGAUGAUCAGUCACACUGGAACUGAGACACGGUCCAGACUCCUACGGGAGGCAGCAGUGGGGAAUAUUGGACAAUGGGGGCAACCCUGAUCCAGCCAUG
rnacentral:rRNA from 1 species